GACAGAGGGGGCAAGCGUUGCUCGGAAUUACUGGGCGUAAAGGGCGCGUAGGCGGGAUGGCAAGUCGGUCGUGAAAUCCCUCGGCUCAACCGAGGAACGUCGAUCGAUACUGCUGUUCUUGAGGAUUGCAGAGGAGACUGGAAUUCCCGGUGUAGCGGUGAAAUGUGUAGAGAUCGGGAGGAACACCGGUGGCGAAGGCGGGUCUCUGGGCCGGUUCUGACGCUCAGGCGCGAAAGCGUGGGGAGCGAUCCGG
rnacentral:rRNA from 1 species